UGCUGCAUGGCCGUCGCCAGCUCGUGUCGUGAGAUGUUUGGUUAAGUCCAGCAACGAGCGCAACCCCUGUUGCCAGUUACCAGCACGUGAAGGUGGGGACUCUGGCGAGACUGCCCAGAUCAACUGGGAGGAAGGUGGGGACGACGUCAGGUCAGUAUGGCCCUUAUGCCCAGGGCUGCACACGUACUACAAUGCCCAGUACAGAGGGGGCCGAAGCCGCGAGGCGGAGGAAAUCCUAAAAACUGGGCCCAGUUCGGACUGUAGGCUGCAACCCGCCUACACGAAGCCGGAAUCGCUAGUAAUGGCGCAUCAGCUACGGCGCCGUGAAUACGUUCCCGGGUCUUGUACACACCGCCCGUCACAUCAUGGAAGCCGGUCGCACCCGAAGUAUCUGAAGCCAACCGCAAGGAGGCAGGGUCCUAAGGUGAGACUGGUAACUGGGAUGAAGUCGUAACAAGGUAGCCGUAGGGGAACCUGCGGCUGGAUCACCUC
rnacentral:rRNA from 1 species